GCUCUCCCUCCGCACGGGGGUUACUGUGCAUGUGGCCAUCUUCACCCUGAUUUUCUGAGCCAUCAGCAAGCCUGUCUCUCCCACAUCCUUCUCCUUAGAUCUGGGAUAACUGGGCAAUAGUACCACUUUGGUUUCAUCUCAAGUCUCUCACCAGAGAACAGUCAUACAAAAAACCUGCCUUUACCUAUACAAGGGUUGUGGUUGUCUUCACGUCACCUGAAUCUAUUUGCUUUGCACAGUCCCAGGGAUAAAAUCUUAAUGCAGUUUCUGGUGGGCACCUGUGACUGGCUAAAUCAAAAAUCAGCACUAGCAAAGUGUCUAAACACUCUGAAGACUCUAGAGGCCCUACCUGAAGAAGCUGGCAACUGAAGCAAUUUCAGAUCAGUCUUUGAGCUACUUCAUGGUCAUUGCCACUUGCCAUCAACAACCAGAGACUAUUCCUGUGGAAGUUUGGCUUUCCAGUCUGGAAAAGGAGGAGCAUGGAGAGGAGUAAAAGACAAAUACUGCAAAUACUUCCAGGACUGCCAAGUGCAUAAGUAUUAGAACACUUUUUUGGCUAUUUUGGACCACUGAGCUACUGAAGAGGCUGGAACAAGCCAAAUAAAUGGCUUUGAGCUCCGUAA